GGGCCCCCGAGCUCCCCGCGGCGCUGCCGCGUCCUGCGGAGCGGAGCCCGGCCGGGGCGAGGGGCGACAAACCCCUGCGCCCCGCCGAGCCCACUCGUGGUGGGUGCCGCGAGGCAGCGGGAGCCCCAGCCUAGCGAGGGGCUUGUAGCAGGCACAGGCAAGGGGUGGAGGUGGUAGCUGUCUGAAGCAGCCAAGAUCUUCAGACGAUAUCGUUAGUUAUCAUCUUACCGUGCCAAAGUUUGCUGGACUCCGUGCAGCACAGAGCAAAAUGACAUAUUCCCUGCCCCAAGGAGUUUACAAUCUAAAGUGGAUCUGACAACACGAGGGUGUGACAGGACACCAUGAGUUUGCAGCAACAGGAUCAUGCUGUUGAGGACUUAACUUACUCCAGGACUACAGAUGAGAAAAAGCGACAGCUCUGCCAGAGGCUUCUUGGGAUGGCAGGAUGGAUCUGACAAUGCAAGGUGUGACAGAAUGCCACAAGGUUGCAGCAACAGAAUCCUGGGAUCCAGUGCCCAGACAAAGCUUCUACACUGCUCAUGCCCAAUCCUGGAAACUAUCGCAGUGCUAUUUCUAUUGGAGACUUCGUGCUCUCUGGAUUCAAAACACCAUGGCUACAAAUAAGAGUGGAUGCUGUUGUUGGCUACAGAUUAAAAUGUCAUCUGGGUUUGGAGUCUUCCAGCUUAUGAUUUCAUCUUUGCAAAUGCUGAGUUUCAGAAGUCUGUUUAUAUGCUCUGUAAACUGA
rnacentral:lncRNA from 1 species